UACGUAGGGGGCAAGCGUUUGUCCGGAAUUAUUGGGCGUAAAGCGCGCGCAGGCGGUUCGUUAAGUCUGAUGGUAAAGCCCGGGGCUCAACCCCGGUAUUCAUUGGAAACUGGCAAACUGGAGUGCAGGAGAGGGAAGCGGAAUUCCACGUGUAGCGGUGAAAUGCGUAGAUAUGCGGAGGAACACCGAUGGCGAAGGCAAUCCCCUGGGCCUGCACUGACGCUCAUGCACGAAAGCGUGGGGAGCAAACAGG
rnacentral:rRNA from 1 species